rnacentral:rRNA from 1 species
GAUGAACGCUAGCGGCAGGCUUAAUACAUGCAAGUCGAGGGGUAGCAAGAUUGUAGCAAUACAAUUGUUGACGACCGGCAAACGGGUACGGAACACGUACACAACCUUCCUACAAGUGGGGAAUAGCCCAGAGAAAUUUGGAUUAAUACCCCGUAACAUAGCGAUGUGGCAUCACAUUGCUAUUAUAGCUUCGGCGCUUGUUGAUGGGUGUGCGGCUGAUUAGAUAGUUGGCGGGGUAACGGCCCACCAAGGCUACGAUCAGUAGCUGAUGUGAGAGCAUGAUCAGCCACACGGGCACUGAGACACGGGCCCGACUCCUAUGGGAGGCAGCAGUAAGGAAUAUUGACAAUGGACGCAAGUCUGAUCCAGCCAUGCCGCGUGAAGGAUUAAGGUCCUCUGGAUUGUAAACUUCUUUUAUAAGGGACGAAAAAAGGUCUUUCUAGAUCGUCUGACGGUACCUUAUGAAUAAGCACCGGCUAACUCCGUGCCAGCAGCCGCGGUAAAAC